UGCAAAGCUUUAAUUUACUUAGCCAUCUUAACUUAGCCAGCACCACAUAGGAGAAAAAGGGUGUGAAAUGUCAUCAAGCACGCCAGUCCUGCAUUGGAGGAAAUAACUUUGUGGUAGGAAGCUGAAAACGCUUCACUUAUCAGAGAUCUUAUGUGACGUGGUGUUGUAACCUUGAAAAGAACCUGUGCCCAGCAGAGCCACACCAUAGGCUCCUUUUCCCUCCUCCAUUACUAUCACCAUCACCACCACCACCACCACCACCCACACCACCCUGCCUGGAGUGAUUACCCCACACAAACAAAACAUGUGGCAGCACCAGAAGUGAGCAUCAGUAACAGGGGAAGAAGGCUAAAGCAGAGGUGAGGUUUCUGACCCUUUCAUAGGCAGGAUUUGGAAAGUUGAAGUGGAGCUAAGUGUGCAUCAUGAAGCAAGAAAGUGAAUGAAACUGUGCACAGUUUUGACAAAACAAAAGAAAACAUGCAAACACACUAAAGCAAAAAAAUGUCAGGACAACAGUAGCUAUAACUACAUUAUAACAUCCACUACAUGAAAGAAUUUAUCCUGCAUGGACCAAUCCUACUGCAAGGUGUAAAUCACUGUGCCUGAUGGGGAAAAAAAUUUUUGAAGCUUGUUUGACCAAUGAUGGCCGUAUCAAAACAGGUUGGUCAGGAUCAGGCCGAGAAGGGGCAGAUACAGCUGCAGUGUGCAUGAUGCCCUUGAGGUGGGCAUUGAUAUCACCAUCCUUGCCCCGGGGUAUGACAAAGGGAUUGAGUCUUGUUCAUACGAGGAUGUAGGUGAUGCCAGUGGCCGAUGCUGGUCAGACUCAACAGAGGUUCGAGUGCUGGAAGAAGCUGACCAAUUACCAGAAGAGGAGCGAGUGCAUUCGUCUUUUGUUCCUUC